CACCAUCAGGAAAAUAAAGGUCCAAAACCCAUCUGUCGGCUGGUACCCUAGUAGUUCCUACAGCCCAAUGUUUCACUCACGGGCAGAAAGGGAGCAAACCAUGUCCCCUACAUGGUGCCAUUAAGUUCACAUAUGGUGGUCAAAGAACCUUCUUCACAAGUGGCUUAAAAAUGGAGGACUUGAGCUCCAUAGUGGGGAACUAUACUAAACCCUCAGUAUAUUGGUAAAAGCUCCCAAAAAGAUGCAUUCCUGCUACCUCACUGGAUUUUAUUCAACCUGCUAGAAAAUUCCCCUCAGAUGCUGCAGCACACAUGGAACAAAGAUUCUGACAGGCUGGUCCUCUGUGUCCUUUCUCUGUUGCUGAACUCUGAACCAAGAUGGCUACAAGCACAUAUCCAAAAACUCUUAAUUUCCCAGUUUAGGUCACUGAUUGUGCUGUCCGCCCUCUUUUGGACACUUCAUGUAUUGCAGGCUAAUACAAAUCAAUGAUAAACAUUCAGGAAAUAGGAGACUAUUCUUCUUAUAUCUAUUUAGAAGAACAUGGCUCUUAGAGGAAAAACAGCAGUGCCAUUAUGUAGAUAUAUUACACAUUUUUAUGUCUGCUUAAUACCCAGCCUGUGGGUAGGGGGAGGAGGGCAGGGGGGCAU